GGUUCAUUGCUCAACUAAAUGCUUUUAAAUUUAAUUCGGCUGAAGUUUUUCUUUUAUCAUACUUAGAAGGACAGUUCUGAAAGCUAGAUGUCGGAAAUCAAGGAGUCACUAAGAUGAUGUCAGAAGUGGGAUCCAAAGUAGAGGUUCUAACGACCCCCAAGAACACUGAGUGACCAAACAAGGUACCUGCUGGACUCACUUGUGUCUGCUGAUCUUUCAGGGCAGCUGGGGAUUGUGGGCAGUUGCACAACCUGGAGGCUGGCAUCAUGGGGUCAUUUAGGAUUGAAUCUGAAGGAGCCGCUGUGGUGGAAAUGAAAUCCCUGCACAAAAGAAGCUGGGGCUGAACUAUCAUAUUCUCCUGGAAGUAGUGAACCAGCAGCUGAGCCACACAAAGGACAUGUUUGACAGAUAAAGAACACUGAUGCCAAGGUCUGAAAUAAAUUUUUUAGCAUUAACAUCUGUGUCUGUGCAAAGCUCUUGGCUGCUUUCUUCAUUUGAUGCUUGGAUGGGUCUGUUAGAUCUGUUGACUCCACUGCUAACCAUGCUAAUAUCUGUUUAGCAGGCUCUGGUGACCUGCCCACAAAAUCAGACAUUGAUUAAACUAUUUUAAAAGUCCUA
rnacentral:lncRNA from 1 species